UACGAUGCUGAGGGGUCGGUACCCGACGAGGUCUCAUAAGCCUUGUUUAGUAAGUUCAACUCUUGCCUUAGCAA
rnacentral:tRNA from 1 species